CCUACGGGUGGCAGCAGUGAGGAAUAUUGGUCAAUGGACGAGAGUCUGAACCAGCCAAGUCGCGUGAAGGAGGACUGCCCUGUGUGUUGUAAACUUCUUUUGUAAGGGAAUAAAACGCGGCACGUGUCCCUUUUUGCAUGUACUUUAUGAAUAAGGAUCGGCUAACUCCGUGCCAGCAGCCGCGGUAAUACGGAGGAUCCGAGCGUUAUCCGGAUUUAUUGGGUUUAAAGGGAGCGUAGAUGGGUUGUUAAGUCAGUUGUGAAAGGUUGCGGCUCAACCGUAGAAUUGCAGUGGAAACUGGCAGUCUUGAGUACGGUAGAGGUGGGCGGAAUUCGUGGUGUAGCGGUGAAAUGCUUAGAUAUCACGAAGAACUCCGAUUGCGAAGGCAGCUUACUGGAGUGCAACUGACGCUGAGGCUCGAAAGUGUCGGUAUCAAACAGGAUUAGAUACCCUGGUAGUC
rnacentral:rRNA from 1 species